AGCAGCCGCGGUAAUUCCAGCUCCAAUAGCGUAUAUUAAAGUUGUUGCAGUUAAAAAGCUCGUAGUUGAAUUUCGGGAUCAAGGAAUCGGUCAUGCCUCGGUAUGUACUGGUUUUAUUGGUUCUCACCUUCUAAAGAACCAUAAUGUCAUUUAUUUGGUGUUAUGGGGAAUUAGGACUGUUACCUUGAAAAAAUUAGAGUGUUUAAAGCAAGCUUACGCUUGAAUACAUUAGCAUGGAAUAAUGAAAUAGGACAUCCGAUUCUAUUUUGUUGGUUUCUAGGAUCACCGUAAUGAUUAAUAGGGAUAGUUGGG
rnacentral:rRNA from 1 species